rnacentral:rRNA from 2 species
AUUAUCGGAGAGUUUGAUCCUGGCUCAGGACGAACGCUGGCGGCGUGCCUAAUACAUGCAAGUCGAGCGGACAGACGGGAGCUUGCUCCCUGAUGUUAGCGGCGGACGGGUGAGUAACACGUGGGUAACCUGCCUGUAAGACUGGGAUAACUC